AAAAAAACUAACUAAAACCUCAGAAAACCCUGACGCAGAAAACAAGCCGCACUUGAACGGUGCUACCACAGCCCUCAGUUCCACCGUAUCAAUCAUGGGUAGCCAAGGCGCUGUUUCCUUAUUGAACAAUGUCGCACGCGCCGCCUUGGGUCUCGGCGUAGCCGCCACGGCUCUCAACUCAUCUCUCUACACCGUCGACGGCGGCCAGCGCGCCGUCAUCUUCGACCGCAUCCGUGGAAUUCUCGACGAAACCGUUGGCGAAGGCACCCAUUUCCUCAUCCCGUGGCUCCAAAAGCCUUUCAUCUUCGACAUCCGCACGAAGCCCCACACUUUCUCCUCCGUCUCCGGCACUAAGGACCUCCAGAUGGUCAACCUAACCCUCCGCGUUCUCUCGCGCCCCGAGGUCACGCGCCUCCCUCAGAUCGUCCAAACCCUAGGCCUCGAGUACGACGAGAAGGUCCUCCCUUCGAUCGGCAACGAGGUCUUGAAGGCCGUCGUGGCUCAGUUCAACGCCGAUCAGCUCCUCACCGAGCGCCCGCAGGUCUCGGCGCUCGUGCAGAGCGGGCUCACCGAGCGCGCCAGGAACUUCAACAUCGUGCUCGACGACGUGGCGAUCACGCACCUGUCGUACGGCGCGGAGUUCUCGCGCGCCGUGGAGCAGAAGCAGGUGGCGCAGCAGGAGGCGGAGAGGUCGAAGUUUGUGGUGGCGAAGGCGGAGCAGGAGAGGCGCGCCGCCAUCAUUAGGGCCGAGGGAGAGAGCGAGUCGGCGAAGAUGAUAUCGGAGGCUACCGAGAAGGCUGGAACGGGACUCAUUGAGCUCAGGAAGAUUGAGGCCAUGAGGGAGAAUGCCGCCACGCUUGCUAAGUCCCCGAAUGUCUCUUACUUGCCUGGUGGCCAGAAGCUUCUCAUGGCUCUCAAUGCCAACCGUUGAGAGCUAAGGGUCUCAUGGCAUGGCAUAAAAGCAUGAUGAGUCUGCUAUUGGAUAGGGUUGCAAGCCUGCAAAUUAGCUCAAGUUUGGGUUGAUCUAAAAUACAAUGGCUUGAUGUCCAUUUGAGCUCUGAAAUCCAGGUCCGUUCAACUUCAGCUAGAUGUGAGCUUUAUCAAGCUCACCUAAGACUGGACAAACCCAAACCCCAAUGAACAAAACUGUAAGCUCAUGUUUUUUUGUUCCAUUUUCAUAGCAUAGCAAGAAGGAUGCUGAUGUGCUUGCACCUCUUUUUCUUUGAAUGAAAGCUGAUGAAAAAAACUAUUUUUCAGACAACGGAGUUAAUGUGGCCUCGCAAAUCAAAACAGAAAAGUAGUAUCAGAUUUAUGUUUCUAAAGCUUUAGAUAACCUCCCAAAAGAUGUUUGGCAGUUGUAGGCCUUAUGGUCAGUAGUACUGAUUCCGUGGGCUUGAAGAAGAGGAUGAAAGUGCUGAUUAAUGGGCAUGCUGUUGAUUCUGUGGUGGCUUCACAAGUAUCCAAUCUUCAACCUCACAAACCCAAGCUUUUGACAUGAGGAAAACUACUUUGCUUCAAAGGAUCACAAUCUUCUCUCUCGGCUAAAAUUUUGGUUUUUGAACAAAUGUAAUUGUCAAAAGCAAAGUAUGUAUGAUAAAAUAUUUUAGUACUAGUGUUGGAACUGCCUUUUGAGUAAAAGUAAAUCUUUGCCUAUUGUUAA